rnacentral:rRNA from 1 species
UACGUAGGGUGCAAGCGUUGUCCGGAAUUAUUGGGCGUAAAGAGCUCGUAGGCGGCCUGACAAGUCUGAUGUGAAAUCCCUGGGCUCAACCCAGGGCCUGCAUCGGAAACUGUCGGGCUUGAGUAUGGGAGAGGUGAGUGGAAUUUCCGGUGUAGCGGUGAAAUGCGUAGAUAUCGGAAGGAACACCUGUGGCGAAAGCGGCUCACUGGACCAUUACUGACGCUGAGGCACGAAAGCUAGGGGAGCAAACAGG